rnacentral:rRNA from 1 species
GACGAACGCUGGCGGCGUGCUUAACACAUGCAAGUCGAACGGAAAGGCCCUGCUUGCAGGGUACUCGAGUGGCGAACGGGUGAGUAACACGUGGGUGAUCUGCCCUGCACUUCGGGAUAAGCCUGGGAAACUGGGUCUAAUACCGGAUAGGAGCCAUUUUUAGUGUGAUGGUUGGAAAGUUUUUUCGGUGUAGGAUGAGAUCGCGGCCUAUCAGCUUGUUGGUGGGGUAAUGGCCUACCAAGGCGGCGACGGGUAGCCGGCCUGCGAGGGUGGACGGCCACAUUGGGACUGAGAUACGGCCCAGACUCCUACGGGAGGCAGCAGUGGGGAAGAUUGCACAAUGGGCGCAAGCCUGAUGCAGCGACGCCGCGUGGGGGAUGACGGCCUUCGGGUUGUAAACUCCUUGCGCUAGGGACGAAGCUUUUUGUGACGGUACCUAGAUAAGAAGCACCGGCUAACUACGUG